GGGGGUGAUCGGUUUCGACUUCGGUCGUCAACUCGGGAGAAGCGAGCCGUGGUCUCCGGAACCACGUUAAAGAGCCGGAACCAUAAACAAACGCCGAGCCUCAGCUCGCACUGGCUGCCUAACAAGUAGCCCGUCCGUCCGGCCCCAGCCCUGCGGGCCGGCCACGGGCGUCAUCAAGUAGGGCUCACCCGGCCGCUGCGUCAGCGGGCGGUCGGGGAAAUCGCAGCUGACUGGGGCCCUCCACCGGUGCCGGUGGCGAGCGGAGGGCCCGAGAUCAUGUCGCCGGCUGCGCUCGGAGAAGGCCCGACGAGGCAUCGAAGGACGCGGGUUCGAUUCCCGCCACCUCCACCC
rnacentral:tmRNA from 1 species